CUACACAGAAACUUUAGUGACAUGACAGGAGUUUGUGUUUGAGAGGAAGAGGAGGAGCUGAGGCAAACACAAUCUGCCUCCAUGUUUCCAUGAGUAUUAAAGAGGAUAAGACUCUGAAAAUCUCUGACAAACUCUCUAGACUGGACACAGAAAUGACAGCAGCUACAAUGAAUAAACUUGACUUUGUGGUCACUUUUCUAAUCCUGUUCUUUAACUGGACAGGUACUGAAGGUCAAACACUGACUGAGUCUGAAUCAGUGGUUAAAAGACCUGGAGAAUCCCACAAACUGAUCUGCACAUAUUCAGGGUUUAGUGGUGAUCACUGGAACGCUUGGAUCAGACAAGCAGAUGGAAAAGGACUGGAGUGGAUCGCUACUAUCAACGAUAGCAGCGGCAGCAUCUACUACUCAGAGUCAGUGAAAAACCGCUUCACCAUCUCCAGAGACAACAGCAGAAAGCAGGUGUAUCUGCAGAUGAACAGUCUGAGAGCUGAGGAUUCUGCUGUUUAUUACUGCGCUCGACACACACAGUGA